UUUUUGCUUUUCCUGAACCCCAAAACAAAUAUUUUCUUUCGCACGAGUGAUUCCCGAUCACCACAUUUGGACCCCGACAACCUCAUGUCAUUCUUGCUGCCAAACAAUGAACCUCGUUCUCCAUUUGAACCCCAGUCGCCUGACGAUAACUCGUGAUCGUCGUUGUGAACCCCAUUCUCCAGAAAACACCCCGUGUCUCCUU
rnacentral:lncRNA from 1 species